rnacentral:rRNA from 1 species
AGUGAACGCUGGCGGUAGGCCUAACACAUGCAAGUCGAACGGCAGCACAGUAAGAUCUUGCUCUUACGGGUGGCGACUGGCGGACGGGUGAGGAAUACAUCGGAAUCUACUUUUUCGUGGGGGAUAACGUAGGGAAACUUACGCUAAUACCGCAUACGACCUACGGGUGAAAGCAGUGGAUCUUCGGACCUUUCGCGUUUGUUUUAGCUGAUGUCGCAUUAGCUAGUUGGCGGGGUAAAGGCCCACCAAGGCGACGAUCCGUAGCUGGUCUGAGAGGAUGAUCAGCCACACUGGAACUGAGACACGGUCCAGACUCCUACGGGAGGCAGCAGUGGGGAAUAUUCGACAAUGGGCGAAAGCCUGAUCCAGCCAUACCGCGUGAGUGAAGAAGGCCUUCGGGUUGUAAAGCCCUUUUGUUGGGAAAGAAAAGCAGCAGGUUAAUACACCGAUGUUCUGACGGUACCCAAAGAAUAAGCACCGGCUAACUUCGUG